GACGAACGCUGGCGGCGUGCUUAACACAUGCAAGUCGAACGGAAAGGCCCUGCUUUUGUGGGGUGCUCGAGUGGCGAACGGGUGAGUAACACGUGAGUAACCUGCCCUUGACUUUGGGAUAACUUCAGGAAACUGGGGCUAAUACCGGAUAGGAGCUCCUGCUGCAUGGUGGGUGUUGGAAAGUUUCGGCGGUUGGGGAUGGACUCGCGGCUUAUCAGCUUGUUGGUGGGGUAGUGGCUUACCAAGGCGUUGACGGGUAGCCGGCCUGAGAGGGUGACCGGCCACAUUGGGACUGAGAUACGGCCCAGACUCCUACGGGAGGCAGCAGUGGGGAAUAUUGCACAAUGGGCGGAAGCCUGAUGCAGCAACGCCGCGUGCGGGAUGACGGCCUUCGGGUUGUAAACCGCUUUCGCCUGUGACGAAGCGUGAGUGACGGUAAUGGGUAAAGAAGCACCGGCUAACUACGUG
rnacentral:rRNA from 1 species